rnacentral:rRNA from 1 species
GGGGAAUAUUGCACAAUGGGGGAAACCCUGAUGCAGCGACGCCGCGUGAAGGACGAAGGUUUUCGGAUCGUAAACUUCUAUCAGCAGGGAGGAAGAAAUGACAGUACCUGAAUAAGCAGCCCCGGCUAACUACGUGCCAGCAGCCGCGGUAAUACGUAGGGGGCAAGCGUUAUCCGGAAUCACUGGGUGUAAAGGGUGCGUAGGCGGUAAUGCAAGUCAGAUGUGAAACCCCUUGGCUCAACCAAGGGCUUGCAUUUGAAACUGUGUUACUAGAGUGCAGGAGAGGAAAGCGGAAUUCCUAGUGUAGCGGUGAAAUGCGUAGAUAUUAGGAAGAACACCAGUGGCGAAGGCGGCUUUCUGGACUGUAACAGACGCUGAGGCACGAAAGCGUGGGUAGCGAACA